rnacentral:rRNA from 1 species
UACAGAGGGUGCAAGCGUUGUUCGGAAUUAUUGGGCGUAAAGCGCGUGUAGGCGGUUCGUUAAGUCUGGUGUGAAAGCCCAGGGCUCAACCCUGGAAGUGCACUGGAUACUGGCGAACUCGAGGAUGGAAGAGGGUAGUGGAAUUCCUGGUGUACCGGUGAAAUGGGUAGAUAUCAGGAAGAACAUCGGUGGCGAAGGCGGCUACCUGGUCCAUAUCUGACGCUGAGACGCGAAAGCGUGGGGAGCAAACAGG